rnacentral:rRNA from 1 species
CCUACGGGGAGCAGCAGUGGGGAAUAUUGGACAAUGGGGGCAACCCUGAUCCAGCCAUGCCGCGUGUGUGAAGAAGGCCCUCGGGUUGUAAAGCACUUUCAGUGAGGAAGAACGCCUGGUGGUUAAUACCCAUCAGGAAAGACAUCACUCACAGAAGAAGCACCGGCUAACUCCGUGCCAGCAGCCGCGGUAAUACGGAGGGUGCGAGCGUUAAUCGGAAUUACUGGGCGUAAAGCGCGCGUAGGUGGCUUGAUAAGCCGGUUGUGAAAGCCCCGGGCUCAACCUGGGAACGGCAUCCGGAACUGUCAAGCUAGAGUGCAGGAGAGGAAGGUAGAAUUCCCGGUGUAGCGGUGAAAUGCGUAGAGAUCGGGAGGAAUACCAGUGGCGAAGGCGGCCUUCUGGACUGACACUGACACUGAGGUGCGAAAGCGUGGGUAGCAAACAGGAUUAGAUACCCCAGUAGUC